GGGGGCGUGGUGUAGCGGCCUAACAUACUGCCCUGUCAAGGCAGAGAUCGCGGGUUCAAAUCCCGUCGUCCCCG
rnacentral:tRNA from 3 species